rnacentral:rRNA from 1 species
GGCGGACGGGUGAGUAACGCGUAAGAACUUGCCCUUUAGACUGGGAUAACAGAGGGAAACUUCUGACAAUACUGGAUAAGUUAGUAUAUCGCAUGAUAUGCAAAUGAAAGCUACGGCACUAAAGGAGAGCUUUGCGUCCUAUUAGCUAGUUGGUAAGGUAAGAGCUUACCAAGGCGAUGAUAGGUAGCCGGCCUGAGAGGGUGGACGGCCACAAGGGGACUGAGAUACGGCCCUUACUCCUACGGGAGGCAGCAGCC